GUUAGGGUGGUGUAGUGGUCAACACAUCUGCCUAGUAUGCAGAAGACCUGGGUUCCAUCCCCAGCCUCAGCA